CCCCACCACCACCACCGAGCCGCCCACCACCACCAGGAGGUACAGGGGGAUCAGUCGUCUGCGACCGACUCGGCGCCGCCGACCAGUGGUGACCUUCCCGCCGUACCGGCCCCGACCCAAACCUGAGCAAGACGUGGUGCGGGACUCACCGAUCCAGAUCCCGGGCCUGGGUGGCGCGCCGGAGGACCAGUUCUACGGCAAUUUCGGCGACAGA